rnacentral:lncRNA from 1 species
UCAGUGAACGUGGCAUAAAAGAGAAUCAUAACAAUGUAAUUUCUUUGUUCAUAGUGUAAGGAUGAAUAUACAAGUAAAGAGAGUGCUGAGUUUAUCCCAGAGGAAUUGCAGUCUUUUUGCGAUUAUGAAUUUAUUCCAUUUGAAUAUAAGGAAAAGGCAAUUGCUCUGGCAGAAAUGCAUUCAAAAUGGAGUAUUAAAACUCUGCAAAGAAAGGCUCUGGAAAAAAAGCUCUUCUCUGAAAGGCUGCAGCCGUUUAAAAAAUAAGAAAAUGCUGCGUGUGUGGAAAGAAGACGUGAUGCGAGGCAGAACAGUGAUAGAUAA